UUUCAGCCAACAAAAAUUCCCCAAAUACUCUCUAAUUACAGAUUCAAAAGGAGAUCCGAAAUCUGAAAUUUCCUUUAGAAUUUUAAGCUUUUUCUACAGAAAAAUCGAAAAAAACAAAAACUUUGAAAAACCAAAAGAAAAACAUUGUUCCAUUGCUUUUUCUGUUAGAUUAUUUUUCGAUUCUAGUUCAAUUCUUUAAUCCUUUUAAAAAACCAAAAAUAGCUCGAAAUAUGAUGUUUUUGUUCAAGAUUUGAAGUUUGAAAGUCACUGGAAUCAUUUGAGCACUAGUAUUGGGUUACUCGAGUGGGCUGUGGGUUGUUUGAGUUGGCUGUGGUUUGCUGGGUUUGUUUCUGAGCAUUUUAGCACUGUUUUUGGGUUAUUCUGUGAUCCUAUUUGGUUUUGAAACAGUUAUGAGGCUUAGAGCUUGUUUCUGAACUGCUGCUGCUUGGUUAUUACAUCAGCUGACCUCUUCUCUUUUGUUACUUCGCAUUUCCUGGUACACACUCGAAAUUCUGCUGUAACUCCAAGCUUGAAAUGGAAUAAAAUUUCCUAUCUGUUUUGAUCCUGAGAUCUGCCUGCUAGUUGUUACAUAUUCAUCGUUAAAUAGAUAUUAUAUGUGUUGUUUAAUAUAGUUAUGUGUCAAUUGGUUGUGUAUAAACUUUGGACUGUAUGGACUGUCACUAUUACUCUUGAUUGAAUUUCAUAAGCAAGAAUCGACGUAAUUAUUUUUUAGCCAAAUUAUAGAGUGAUCUGAUUUCAGGCAUGCUUCAGUUAAAAGUGUUAGUUUCAUAAUAGGUUAAUGGCAUCGUUUCGUAAAGGAUUUGUUAAAUCGUUUAUGAUUUGUAUGAGUAAUAGGACAUAACGUUAACAUCAUACUCACAGCUUAGGUUCAAUUGACA
rnacentral:lncRNA from 1 species